GAACUCAGCCGAAGAAGAAGCGGGAGCGUCUGAGUAAACAGAGCCAGCGGAACAUGGCGCCUCUCAGCCGGAGGACCGUGGACAGGAUUUAUUCUGCGGUCCUGCUGGGUCUGGUGGUUCUGUCCUGGUCUUAUGUGAUCUACGCCAGCAGGAUCGCAGCUUAUUGGCUGCUGGAGAAAAGGACCGGCCUGCUGCAGGAGGACUGACGGCGCCGCUGCAGGCUGGUGCUGGGAGACGUUCUGGUUCUGGACCAGAAACUACCAGCCGCUGGACUGAACCAACAGGAUUAUUCUGGAAACCAUGGCUGCCAGUUUAUUUUGGCAGCGCCCAGUGGACCCGGAGGAGAUGUUCUGGAGAACCGCAGCCUGAGAACAGCUGAGAGUCCAGCAGGUUUCUGGAUCAGAACCGACAACGAAUCCAGGUCUGAACAGAACUCCUGAGAAACCAAGAGAUGAUUCGGUUUACCUGAGGAAAACAGAAACUUUAAAAUAAUUCAGUUUAAACUGAAACUUUAAAAUAAUUCAGUUUAA